CGGAUGUGACCCCUCGACUCCAGCUUCUCUGACGUCGGUGAAAUUCUACACCAACAGAAUUGGUGCUAGAGGAAGGGCCUGUAUCUUCGCAGUACCCUUAUUUUUAAAGGAGUGCUCAGUAGGACCAUCUCCAGUCAUCCUGUCCGACAUCUUCCUCUCCUUCUCUUGCCAGAUCUCUACCUGAUGCCUCCCCGAAAGGCAUCCACCAGGCGAUCCAUGGCCUCCGCAGUCAGAUCUCAGCGAGCUUCGCAAGCUCCAACCUCGUCUCCAGUUUUCCAGGCUCCUCCUCCGGCAAUGGCAAUCGACGUGGAGCAGUUCAACUUGCUGGUUCAGCAAGUCAGGGGCCUCAUCGAAGCAGUGCAGGCCAUGC
rnacentral:lncRNA from 1 species